GAUGAACGCUGGCGGCGUGCUUAACACAUGCAAGUCGAACGGGAUCCAUCAGGCUUUGCUUGGUGGUGAGAGUGGCGAACGGGUGAGUAAUGCGUGACCGACCUGCCCCAUACACCGGAAUAGCUCCUGGAAACGGGUGGUAAUGCCGGAUGCUCCAGUUGAUCGCAUGGUCUUCUGGGAAAGCUUUCGCGGUAUGGGAUGGGGUCGCGUCCUAUCAGCUUGACGGCGGGGUAACGGCCCACCGUGGCUUCGACGGGUAGCCGGCCUGAGAGGGCGACCGGCCACAUUGGGACUGAGAUACGGCCCAGACUCCUACGGGAGGCAGCAGUGGGGAAUAUUGCACAAUGGGCGCAAGCCUGAUGCAGCGACGCCGCGUGAGGGAUGGAGGCCUUCGGGUUGUAAACCUCUUUUAUCGGGGAGCAAGCGAGAGUGAGUUUACCCGUUGAAUAAGCACCGGCUAACU
rnacentral:rRNA from 1 species